GCCCAAGACUAGGUAUCUUGCUGAUUUAGGAACAAUAUAGAGAAAAUUAGCAUGGACCCUGUGCAAGGAUGACCCCAAAAUUCAUGAAGUGUUCCAUAUUUUG
rnacentral:snRNA from 1 species